GUGUCAGCAGCCGCGGUAAGACGUAGGAGGCGAGCGUUAUCCGGAUUUACUGGGCGUAAAGCGCACGCAGGCGGCUUCGUUAGUCGGAUGUGAAAGCUCCUGGCUUAACCGGGAGAGGCCAUUCGAUACUGCGAGGCUUGAGGUUGGAAGAGGGGUGUGGAAUUCCCGGUGUAGUGGUGGAAUGCGUAGAUAUCGGGAGGAACACCUGUGGCGAAAGCGGCACCCUGGUCCACACCUGACGCUGAGGUGCGAAAGCGUGGGUAGCAAACAGGAUUAGAUACCCCCGUAGUCC
rnacentral:rRNA from 1 species